rnacentral:rRNA from 1 species
UACGUAGGGUGCGAGCGUUAAUCGGAAUUACUGGGCGUAAAGCGUGCGCAGGCGGUUUUGUAAGCCAGAUGUGAAAUCCCCGGGCUUAACCUGGGAAUGGCAUUUGGGACUGCAAGGCUUGAGUGCGGCAGAGGAGACUAGAAUUCCUGGUGUAGCAGUGAAAUGCGUAGAUAUCAGGAGGAAUACCGAUGGCGAAGGCAGGUCUCUGGGCCGAUACUGACGCUGAGGAGCGAAAGCGUGGGGAGCGAACAGG